UUUGACCAACAAUUAGACCGAUUUAAUAAGGACGAGAUCUCUCGCCAAUUCUAUGGCCGGUCUGAUGUUCUAUGCUGAGAAUAGACAUAAAGGGAUGACUCUCUUAUCUGCUGGCCUUUGAUAAUGGAAAGUAAGGGCAGACUAUAUAUUUUGUCAGGGGAACUCCUAUUGUUUACACAUUACUCGUCUACCGUGACGUGCUUUAUUUUGAC
rnacentral:lncRNA from 1 species